AUUGAACGCUGGCGGCAGGCUUAACACAUGCAAGUCGAGCGAGCGGCGGACGGGUGAGUAAUGUCUGGGAAACUGCCUGAUGGAGGGGGAUAACUACUGGAAACGGUAGCUAAUACCGCAUACCAUCGGAUGUGCCCCGAUGGGAUUAGCUAGUAGGUGGGGUAAAGGCUCCCCUAGGCGCCGAUGCCUAGCUGGUUUGAGAGGAUGACCGGCGGCACGGGAAGGGGGACACGGUCCAGGCGCCUACGGGAGGCAGCAGUGGGGAAUGGUGCGCAAUGGGCGCAAGCCUGAUGCAGCCAGGCCGCGUGUAUGAAGAAGGCCUUCGGGUUGUAAAGUACUUUCAGCGGGGAGGCGGUACCCGCAGAAGAAGCACCGGCUAACUCCGUGCCAGCCGCCGCGGUAAUAC
rnacentral:rRNA from 1 species